rnacentral:misc_RNA from 1 species
UUUUUUUAAGAAAUGAAAAUUUCACAAAAUGGCAUUUUCCUUACGUGAUGACCGAUCAACAGUACAAAGAUUAAUCUCUGGCAUUUAUGAUGGUAGGGACCGCAUGACUCUGGAUGUACUCGCACCCAUAUGAUAACUGCUAGCUAUUGCGUUAGACACGGGAUUUAGGAAAUUAUGCGUGGAUGCACGGGACCACCAUUAUUUUCCAAAUUUUAGAAUAUUCACGUUAGGCAUUUAAAAAUAAAAUAAUAUAAAAUAAAAAUUCCCCACAAUUAUUCGACUUUUGCUUUUAGUCUAAUUUUUUGCUAUUUCCAGAAUGAGCAAGUUAUAAAAAAUAUUGAUAACUUUAUUUGUUGAAUAAAACUAAAAAUAUCAUUCUUAUUUUUCUUUUUUUUUUAAUCUUAUAAAAAUACUUGUGGCUAUUUAAAUUUUGAAUUUUUACAUUAUUAAAUAAACACUCAAUUACUAAGUUAUUGU